CCUACGGGAGGCAGCAGUGGGGAAUAUUGGACAAUGGGCGAAAGCCUGAUCCAGCCAUGCCGCGUGUGUGAAGAAGGCCUUCGGGUUGUAAAGCACUUUCAGUGGGGAAGAAAGCCUUGGGGCUAAUACCCUCGAGGAAGGACAUCACCCACAGAAGAAGCACCGGCUAACUCCGUGCCAGCAGCCGCGGUAAUACGGAGGGUGCGAGCGUUAAUCGGAAUUACUGGGCGUAAAGCGCGCGUAGGCGGUCUGAUAAGCCGGUUGUGAAAGCCCCGGGCUCAACCUGGGAACGGCAUCCGGAACUGUCAGGCUAGAGUGCAGGAGAGGAAGGUAGAAUUCCCGGUGUAGCGGUGAAAUGCGUAGAGAUCGGGAGGAAUACCAGUGGCGAAGGCGGCCUUCUGGACUGACACUGACGCUGAGGUGCGAAAGCGUGGGUAGCAAACAGGAUUAGAUACCCCUGUAGC
rnacentral:rRNA from 1 species